rnacentral:rRNA from 1 species
CUACGGGGCGCAGCAGGCGAGAAAACUUUGCAAUGUGCGAAAGCACGACAAGGUUAAUCCGAGUGAUUUCUGCUAAAGAAAUCUUUGUUAUCCUAGAAACACU